AUGUUGAGCACAGGCAUGAGGCACCUUGGUCUCCGGUGUGACACAUGCCAGCCUCUGGCACUGCUCCUCUGCCUCUGGAAAGGGGCAGUGGGGCAAGAACCAACGCAGAGCCUGGCACUGGCAUCAUGCUGUGACCACACAGAGCUCAGACAUGGCUAUGGGCAGAAGUUGGGCUCCAGGUCUUGUUCCCCUUUCCCUCCUGCCCCAGUUCCUCUGGAAGGACCCUGGGACACCCCAAAGUGGCCCUGUGCCUCUGGGCUGCACCCUGGGACCAAGGUGCUGUACAUCUGCCAUGUUGCUUCCCAGCUGGAAUUUGUGGGUUUGUGGAUCAGGGAGUGCCUGGGGCCAGCUGGGUCAGUCUGGGGCUUUCAGGCUGCCAGGGCAUGCAGGGUACAGGCCCUGGCAGCUCCUGGCUGGGCUGGCCUGAUGCAAUUCCCUGUUUGCAGAACAUCAGCCUCCCCACGAGUGUCCCAGGGCAGCAGAAUCUUCCCUCAUCAUCUGCAGCUGGAUGGACCCUUGGGAGCCUGCUUGGCUGUGGAACGGGAUUCAGGGCACAGCCAUGGACACACUCCAGCCCUCCAUGCAUGGCCAUGGCCAGCUGGUGACAGACCUGGCUGUGCUUUGGCGUUUGGGUCCCAGGGAGCCCCAGGAUCACCAUGGGCAGCCCGAGGCAGCAGCAGUGCUGUGUGCUGGUGGCAGGGGUGGCAGGGGUGGUCACAGCACUGUCACUGCUGCUGGCUGGAGGUCACCGUGCCAGAGCAUUGUGGUGCACCUUGCUCACACCAGCGUGGGGGUGCUGAGGGUCCCCCGAAUCACCGGGUCUGGGGCCAAAGGGCUUCUCCAAGGAGCCACAGACUGGGGGAACACCAAACCAUUCCAUGUGAAAGCAGCUCUGGAGUGGGGCUGGGUUGGGUCACCCUCACCACAGAAAAAUCCCAACAAAAAAAGGAAAGGGCUCCCACCGGUUUUGUCCUCUCCACCACGUGCUCCCCAAGAGGGGAGAAUGGAGGUGCUGAGCUCCUCCCCGGGGCAAAACGCCCUCGGGUUUGCUGUUUCACAGGGGCUGCAAAGCCCCCUCAGGGCUGA
rnacentral:lncRNA from 1 species